rnacentral:rRNA from 1 species
AGUGAACGCUGGCGGUAGGCCUAACACAUGCCAGUCGAACGGCAGCACAGUAAGAGCUUGCUCUUACGGGUGGCGAGUGGCGGACGGGUGAGGAAUACAUCGGAAUCUACUUUUUCGUGGGGGAUAACGUAGGGAAACUUACGCUAAUACCGCAUACGACCUACGGGUGAAAGCAAGGGAUCUUCGGACCUUGCGCGAUUGAAUGAGCCGAUGUCGGAUUAGCUAGUUGGCGGGGUAAAGGCCCACCAAGGCGACGAUCCGUAGCUGGUCUGAGAGGAUGAUCAGCCACACUGGAACUGAGACACGGUCCAGACUCCUACGGGAGGCAGCAGUGGGGAAUAUUGGACAAUGGGCGCAAGCCUGAUCCAGCCAUACCGCGUGGGUGAAGAAGGCCUUCGGGUUGUAAAGCCCUUUUGUUGGGAAAGAAAAGCAGCAGGUUAAUACCCCGCUGUUCUGACGGUACCCAAAGAAUAAGCACCGGCUAACUUCGUG